CGGUUCCAGAGGAGAAGGUAAAAUGCCAGCUGGCUGUUAGAGCACUGGAGUUUACAGUGAAGACAGCUGAAAUACUUCCCAGGUUCGGGGAGGAGGACUGGCAAACCCAGAGGCCAGAAACUCUCAUGACAGCAAAGAGGAAAAAGCAGAAGAGGAAGAAAUCUACUCAUUAACUUGUUUAAUAGAUGUUGGCUGAGCACCAGCAUUUUGUUAAGCUUGGUGUUAGACUCUGCGGAUACCAAGCGAACAAGAUCCAGUUUCUACUUUCAGGAUGUUAGUGGAGGAGACAAAUGUAAAAAGCAAUCUCAAUUUAUUGUCCUAAGGGCUGUGUUUGAACUAAGUUCAGUGUGAAAUGAAAUCUUACAGCGCUUGAGAAAUCAGAGAGACUCCUGGGGAAAGUGACAUCUAGAUAGAGAUCAAAAGGGUGAGCAGGAGCUGCCCUGGUAGAGAGAGAGGUCAGAGGAGGCAGGACGUCUCAGGCAGAAGGACCAGCCUAUUCAAGGACAGAAAGGAAGAGCAUAAAAAGGAACAUAGAAGUGUAGGGGAGCUGUUGUUCCGUAAGAGUAUACAGCUUACAAGAAAGAUGGAGAGAUGAAUUCAGAAAAGUAAGCACAGCCAGACCGUGAAUUCUUGCAAGUCUCGCUAAGGAUUAUGCACUGUGCCCUUGGAGAAAUGCUUCAUCACUGAAGUAGUUCAAGAGCUUGGAGGCAGCAAGAGCAGUUAGUACUACUAAUGACAGGGCCUCCACAUUUGCUGAGGGAGUCCAAACAUUUCAGAAAUGAUAGUAUUUAUGUCCACUAGAAGUUUACUGUUUUACAUGUCAGCACACUGGUUGAUAGGAGACAAUCCACACUGAAGUGAGUUCCACCCACAGCACAGAUGGAGAAAUGUGGUUAUAUACUCCUGUCCUCCCCCCCAAUUCUAUUUGCCUCCCCUUCAUGAAGACAGUCUUACCCUCAGACUACUAGUUCAUUUACUUUGAUCACUUGUAUUUAUCUAGGUCCAUUCUAUCAUUUCUCUGUCAAAAACCAAGCCGUCUUUAGAGGAACUUCUGUUACCUUCGUUCAAGUCUAAUAAGAUGCCUACUGAUCCUCACUGCACUUCUCUUUCCCUUGUUGUUGCAGCUGUAAACUUCAUAAAGUGCUAAAGCAUUUACAUACAAUGGGGUGUGUUAAAGCAUAGGAGUGUAGCAUAAACUGAGAUUCCUAUUUAAUGUCUAAAAUCUAUAUCUAAAAAUAUCUAAAAUUCUAAUUUUAGAAUAUCUAAAAAUUCAGUAUGUACUCAAUAAAUACUUGUUGAAGGGAUGAAUGUCCCAUUCAAUUUAUUUUCUGUAUUUCUGAAGGAUGGUACAUUUAUUCACUCAUUUUUAACAAGCGUUUAUUGAAUGCUUCCCAUAUGCCAGAUACUCUUCUGAUUUCAUGUUAUUCUUCUAUUGGGGGUGAGAUAGAUAACAUAGAAAAAAUUUUAAAAUGAGUAUUUUUUCAGAUUGCAAUAAAGUUUAUGGAAGAAAAUAAAGCAAGAAAGUAGAUUGGGUCCUGCAGGAGUGGAAGUGUUCAAUUUUUAGCAGGAUUGUUAUUAAGGGCUUCACUGAGCAAGCAACCUUUGAACAAAGACAGACAGGAUAAAAAGGAGUGAAGCACGUGGUGUUCUGGGAAGAGUGGGUUUCAGGCUGAGUGAGCAGCAAUGCAAAGGUCUCAAAACUUUUUGAGAUAUAUUUGAAGAAAAGCAGCAUCACUUGGGAGUGAAACAGAGGGAGAGGAAGAGGAACGAGAUCAGAGGGGUAAUGAGAUGAGAGAGGGAAGAAUUUGUAGGAUCAUGCAGACUAUUUUCAAUACUUUGGCUUUUACUAUAAGUAAUAUCAAAGCCAUAGACUCCUUUGAGCAGACGAAAGGAAUGCUCUAACAUGCUGUAACAGGGUCACCUCAAUUCGGCGAUAAGAACAGAUUGUGAGUGGGGACAGAAGCAAGGGCACUGGUUAAGAGAUUAUGACAAUAAAUCUGGCCAAACGUGAUACUGACUUAUCAAGAUAAUAAAAGAGGAGAUGGUAAAUAGUAGUGAGACGGUAUGGGAUACAUUUGGAAGGAAGAACUGAGUAUUAUUGAAAGAUUGGAUAUGAGAUGCAAAAAAAAAAGGAGUGGAGUCAAAGAAAACUCCAAGGUCUGGGUCUGGACAACUGGAAAAAUGGGAUUUCCAUUCAUUGAAAGAAAUGGGGAAAAGAUUUGAAAGAAAAAUCAGUACAUCUCCCAUUUUAAAGACCUCUUAGACACAUAAGAGGUUGUGUUGAACAGACAACAGGGGUCUUAGCUAGAUAUAUAAAUCUGAUAGUCAUCCACUUACAGUGGGUAUUUAAAGGCAUGAAACUGAAAAACCAAGAAAAGAAGUCCAAAGAAAGAACCUUGGACCUCUGCAAAAGUAAAAGUCAAAGCGAUGAGGAGAAACCAGAAAAGGAGUCUGAGAAGGAAUGUAGAGGAGUGAAGCUAAGUGAAGGAAGGAAUCAACACCUGUGUCUAAUGUUGCCGAUAAGCCAAGUAAGAAAAAGAUUCACCCUAAGCUACCAUCUAUUGCCAACUUCCUCUUUUUGUUUCCUCUCCGAAGCCCGACUGCAUGGUUGUGUAUCCUGGUUGUAAGUCCUUCUAGUUCUAUGUGAGCUGCUGCCACAGCACGGCUACUGACAGGUGAGUGGUGUGGUUCUGCGACUGGGAAAUGAACCCGGGCCAACAAAGCAGUGACAGCGCUGAACUUUAACCAGUUCGCCAUCAGGGCUGGCUCAGCAAAUUGCUUUUGCAUCUUUAAAAACCUGAAUUGCUUCUGAGAGUCCUGCUUACCAAAACAAAGUGUUUGUCAAAGCUAAUCUUUUAC
rnacentral:lncRNA from 1 species